CCUGAUUGCAGACUGCAGGUCAGCCCUGCCUUCUCGUUUAAUCUGAAGUUAACUGUCUACCAGCUGCUGCUAAGGUCCAAAAGCAUGCCCAAGUCCCUCAGCUGUAGGAGCCUGCAAAUCAUGUCCAGGUCAUCUCCAAGCUGCCAACAUGGGACCUGUGUCAGUGACUCCUGCGGGAGCUGGGAACCAGCAAGGGCCUAUGCAAGGUGCCUGGGCUUCUGGACUUUUCCAGUGGCUGUUGUCUUCUAAAGACCAAGAGGCAGUAGCAGCCGGCAUUGUGGAGAGCUGCACAGAAGAGCUCCAGGCUGGCCAGCACAGAGUGUCUACCUCCUAUCUACAUCUACUCCACCUAUAAAUCUGUUUGGGAACAGCUUCUACAAAGAGAAAAGAUGCUCUCUUAAGCACACUGCUUACUCCAUUCGGAAGCACUCUGAACACAGCGAGAAGUGACUAUCCUGGCAAGAGUAGUUCCAAGCCUCAAAUCUCUUGCUAAAUAUUCAGAGUGAUGAAGCAAAGAUGGAUAUUAUUAUUAUUUGGUCGCUUCGAGGUAUAUUUUUAAGUGCUGCACAGAGAUUUAACAUUCCACUAACAACACAGAACAUUUGCUUGGCACACAAGCAGUGACCUUCAAGACUCAUCUGAGGACAAGGCAAGACAAAAAAGCUAAGCUACAGCAGCAGGGAGCUGACAAGUCAGGAAUGUACAUGCUUAAACAAGUUUCACUUAUUAAAAGAAAAUGUAAGCUUCUUUUCUGCGAUAUGUACUGCACAGACAGACUCCUCCAAUUACAUGGUGUGCCAGUGUACCCUAAUCGUCACCAUCAGAAGGAAAUAGGUCACCAGAACAAUUAGCACCAAAGUGGUGCAUAGCCUCCUCAGCUUGAAUUCUUCGGGUGACACCUGCAGAUUACUUGAGCUUUAGGUACAGAUAAUACACACAGUAGAAGUAGUAUAAAGAAAGGUAGAUCUGAGAUGCUCCCCCACAAGACUCCAAGCAAGCACCUGUCAGUUUACUUUGUUUUACUGACCAUGACAUUUUUGACUAUUGCACGCAGAAGAAAGAAAACCGUUUGCUUUCCCAUUCAUUAUGAUCCAUAGCCACAGGCAACAAAAUGUAUGCAUGUACUUAUGGAGGUGUUUAUUUGGCCCUCAUCACAGCUGAAGUAACAAGUAUUUGAAUUUGAUUACCUUCAUAUUUCUAGUAUUGAAAGGAAAUGGUGUAUAUAGUUUCUAAUAGACAGAGAGGAUGCCUCUGGACUGUCAUGUGUUGAAGACCUGACAGUUGAGAAACCACAGGAAAGCACAGGGGGAGUGCAGAUACAGAGUGAUGAUAUGAAAACAGCAAAUAAUGAGAAGGAGCAUGCCAGCAGAUGGCGGAAAAACAGACUGUUCAACAGCUAAGGACUCGAUAAGAUAUGAUAAUUUAACAAGUGGAAAAAGAUCCUUUAAUAAAAAAAAAAAAAGUCUCUGCAUGGAACAAAAGCUGAUGAGAAAAGAACAGGAAAGAAAAAAUUUCAAGAGUUACAUUUAAACCUUUUUUUCUUUUUUAUAUAAAUUUCUUAUUUUAAAAUGGAAAAAUUGCUGAUACAGUAUUAAGAAUAACUGAAAGUUCCUAUCCUGAUAAUCUCAAGAUAAGAAAAAUGACUACAUUUACUCAGCUCUAUCUUCAAUUAAUCAAAUAGCCCAGAAGAAAUGUUGAUGCUGUCUAGACUGCCUCUCCUACUUAAGGGAGAAUUUUAAAUAUUUUAGUGACUUUUGUUACACUGAAAGAGUUCACGGUUUCUGUCAAAUGGGUCUUCAUACAGAAGCACCGAGUUCUUUGAGGUUGAUGAGCAUACUAGCUGCCUAUCAGUCAGGCUAAAAUGAAAAAAGUCCUUGUGCUCCUAUAUGGAAUAAGACAGAUUAAACAAAAGAAACUAUUCUCCAAGGCAGAGCUUGGCAUGGCCUAUGCAGAAGAUGAGGCAGAUGCACAGAGGUUGAGGUACUCUCAGUCAUGCUAGGAGGAAAGAGUCCAUUUCUCUUCUCUGAACUAGUCUCCAAUAUAGGGGCUAAAUCAGGUUCAUAAAAGUUCAGAUGAGAGCUGACUUGGCAUCUUCCAGGUGAGAUGAUCGUGACUAUAGUCAAGCAUCAGUCCGGCCCCAUAGACUAGAUCUGUACAGCAAAGGGAGGUGAUUAGCUGUAGCAUCUGUCCUGUUGAUGCAUUGCUUCAAGAGACAAUUGAAAAAGUUUUGAAAAUACUGAAAAGUAAAGGCAGGCUAUGUCUGAUGUAACAAUGAAAAGAAAUAACACCUGAUUAAAGAAAUGGAGUGGGCUCAGAGUCAAAGGAGACCAACCAGAAUUUCCACUGAAGGUGUCACUUCGGUAUGCCUUUAUAGUCACCAGAGACCAAGGCAAUACUGCAGUUCAUGGAGCCCAACCACUUAAUUACCUUUUGAGAUCUUCGUGUAACCCACUACCAGUCCUUGCCUA